rnacentral:rRNA from 1 species
UGAGGAAUAUUGGUCAAUGGUCGGGAGACUGAACCAGCCAAGCCGCGUGAGGGAUGAAGGUACAGAGUAUCGUAAACCUCUUUUGUCAGGGAACAAAAGGCGCCACGUGCGGCGCUCCGAGUGUACCUGAAGAAAAAGGCAUCGGCUAACUCCGUGCCAGCAGCCGCGGUAAUACGGAGGAUGCGAGCGUUAUCCGGAUUUAUUGGGUUUAAAGGGUGCGUAGGCGGCGAGUUAAGUCAGCGGUAAAAUGCCCGGGGCUCAACCCCGGCCCGCCGUUGAAACUGGCUUGCUUGAGUUGGAGAGAAGUAGGCGGAAUGCGCGGUGUAGCGGUGAAAUGCUUAGAUAUCGCGCAGAACUCCGAUUGCGAAGGCAGCCUACCGGCUCCACACUGACGCUGAGGCACGAAAGCGUGGGUAUCGAACAGGAUUAGAUACC